rnacentral:rRNA from 1 species
UGGGGGAUAUUGCGCAAUGGGGGGAACCCUGACGCAGCGACGCCGCGUGAGCGAGGAAGGCCUUCGGGUCGUAAAGCUCUGUCCUUGGGGAAGAAGGGAUGACGGUACCCGAGGAGGAAGCCCCGGCUAACUACGUGCCAGCAGCCGCGGUAAUACGUAGGGGGCGAGCGUUGUCCGGAGUUACUGGGCGUAAAGGGUGCGUAGGCGGCCUAUUAAGUCAGGUGUGAAAAACCUCGGCUCAACCGGGGUAUUGCACUUGAAACUGAUGGGCUUGAGUGCAGGAGAGGGAAGUGGAAUUCCUGGUGUAGCGGUGAAAUGCGUAGAUAUCAGGAGGAACACCAGUGGCGAAGGCGGCUUCCUGGCCUGACACUGACGCUGAGGCACGAAAGCGUGGGGAGCAAACAGG